CCAGUCUCUAGAUUGUCCAUCCUU
rnacentral:misc_RNA from 1 species